GUCUAGGGCCACACCGCCCUGAAUCCAUCUGAUCUUGGAAGCUAAGCAGGGUCGGGCCUGGUUCUUACUUGGACAGGAGAAAUUGACAAAUGGAUGUUAAUACUCGUGGAAUACCAAGGGACCCAGAAU
rnacentral:rRNA from 1 species